UCUGCUAUAGCCCCCCAUUGUGUUUACGAAAUAUACACAAACAUCAUAUGGGGAUUUUUCUUCUUAUCAGCGAAUAAAGUGUUUGAGAAUUGCUGGCGUGAUUCAUUGAUGAUCGCUCAACGAAUACUAUUGAAUUUUUGAGGCUCUACGUAUAUGGUUAAAUAUUUUGUAGCCUCACUUUAAUUGUCAAUCAUGUUAGCGUAAAUAAAUAUUUUAUCCAAAUUCCGAAUCAUACAAAAUGUAUAAAAUUGUGAAUCUGCUAAGCUCGCACUUCGCUAUAAGGCGUUUGCACCCACAGAAAAUAUACAACCUUCCAGCAGUCAAGCAGUGUCAAGAGGUCUAACAUUCCCUAUAUGCAAACGAAGCAACGCGAUCGGUUGGAAAUUAUACGCAAGAAAAUCAUAGCAGAACGAGAGUCACUUAAAUCUAAAAUUGAAAAAAUUGAGAAACUUAUAAAUAAUUUGGAAAAAUUAAAAUCCAACCCCGAAAAGAAGUCAUAAAGACACAGUAAAUCAAGUUAGCCCUGGAAAACAGCUCUGUAGUCCAAGUAUUGUGCAGUUUCGAAUUCUAAAUUUUGAAAUUUUUGGCCUAUGAUGUUUGGAACCGUCAUCAAAUCCAUAAGGCUUCUGAAAUUCAGAGAUGUCCUGGCCACAAGCGGUCAUCAACGAGGAGUGAGCCGGGACAAAACAGGAGAAGAGAAGCAUCAUUUUAAGAGAAUUGAAAUGGAACAACUGAAGAAAAUUAGGCAGAAUGUAAUUAAGGAUAUGAUGGCACAGAUCGAGGCUCUGAAAUACGAGAUCAAAACCAUUGACAGAGGGUUUUCCGAAGACAAAGAGUCAGUCAAAGAAGAGUUGUUGCAAAAAAUAGAGCAGUUAAAAACUGAAAUCGAGAAAAUAAGAAAGACGAUUGGAAAAAACGAUUGAAAGAUUGAAAGUAGGCGAUCUUUCUAGUUUUAAUCUGCCUCUGCCAUUCCUUCACUAGACACUAAAAUAACCUUCAAGUAAUUUUAAAAUUUUCAUAGAAAUACAUUUUUGUUUGGAUUAUUCUUUUAAAUUCACCGAAAAUUAUCGGAAAUGCAGAAAUAUCUUUGCAACACGCGUCGACUCUUAGCUCCCCCAAAUGUUGUUUUACACAGAGCUUCAAGAAUGCUAGCAACUUCUUGUACGAAAGAGCCAGAGCCGGAGAAAAUGUCCACUUCCUGAAAAUACUAAGAGAACAACUGAUGAAGCGGCGCUCCAAACUGAUGAUGCAAAAGGUGCAGGUCAUUGCAAAGAUCAACAAAGUGGAUGAGCAGAUUAAGAGAAUAACGGCAAAAUCCGAUGAAGACCAACAGGCACAUUGACGGGGAACAGCACUAAGGGAAAUACAUAAUAUUUAAUCUGAAAUAAAUUAAGAGGGCUAUACCCGAACAGUUUUUUUCUUUCGUUUUUUUUAUUUAAAAUAAUUUGUAUUUUCUCAUUUACAUAGAAGCCUUUCAGGUCCGAGGGUUUUCUUCCCCUCUUCAAAGACCUGCCUGAUAGUGGGAGCUUUCUUAAAACAUACGAUAUAUAUAUGGGGCUGUUUUUGUUUUGUUUUUGUUUUAAUCAUAUAUGGUAACAAUUUGUUUUGCAGCGCAAAUGGUAAAAAAAAUAUUGAAAUGAACCUUCAUUUAAUAUGGCAUUCAAACAAACAUCUAUAUGCACACACACAUGUGCAUUAAGAGAGGGACAGGGCAUACGGGUGGGUAUACGUAUACACAAAUCAAA